rnacentral:lncRNA from 1 species
UUAAUCUUUGAAAAUUUGAAGAAAUGGAAGUGUGGAGAGAAAGGGAAGGGGAAGGGAAAUUUAUAAAAUUUCAAAAUCGUUGAAUUCGUGCCAAGUGCCGAAAUCCGGUGAAGAGAGAGAAGGAAAAGAUUCUUGGUACAAAAAAUGAGGGAGGAAAAUUUACUCCAUCAGCGGCAGCGACAGAGCUCUACCCAAGGUGGCAGAGCCCAACUGGUGCACAUAGGCCUGCUGCCGCGCACGUAAGGCCUAGGCGUAUGGGCAUCGCACGCUCAUGCCGACUGCACGUAGGCCCUAAGCGCAUAGGGCCUGUCCGUAUAGACCUGCAGCGUAGACGACGUGCACACAGGUGCAGCGCUAGUCCGUGUAUGAAGUGACGCGCGGACAGUCCACCUGCAAGCGAUAGGACACGAGCGCAGGUCUUGACCUCGCGCCAUGUGCACGGACAGGACGUGCAUGCUGUGUGCACAUCCCGUGCU